GGCCCUCACCCGCUCUGCUUUCACCCAACCCGACUGACACGGAGUAGGAGGUGGGAAUCAUGCAGGCAGGGAGCUUAGGAAGCCUGGUUUAAGAUUGCUUUGAAUGGCAGGCCCCCUGCUGUGCUCCUGGGGAGAGAGCCUGAAACCUGGAUGCUCGGGAGCCCCUCAGAUCCGUCAUCUGUCCCCGACACCCCUGUGCACACACCUACACUUGAUGGCAGGGAAAUAAUUAUUUCCUGCAGAAUGGGCUGCAAAUGUAACAAACCCCCUGACCUUCAGUCUGAAGAGAGA